GCCUGGGUGGUUCAGUGGUUGAACUUCUGCCUUCAGCUCAGAGCAUAAUCCUGGAGUCCCAGGAUCAAGUCCUGCAUCAGGCU
rnacentral:tRNA from 1 species